UUUUUUUUUACGUUUAAGAAUCUAGUCUGUAUUUCCUUUCAUUAUUAGAUAUUUAAAAAAUGUUUACAUCCUACAUAAAAGCUUUAGACUGUUCUUAGAUCUCUUUCCACCUACCCUGUUCCCAUGAGCAAAUUAGCUAAGUGGGACAUUUUACUCAGGUGCUUCCUAAUUGUGACUUGAAGAAGGAAGCCCUGAAUGACAAGUGUAGCACUUGAUUUUUAGCAGCUUGGCCUCAUGCAAAGCUGUGAGCAUCAUGUUUCCACUGCAGUCGGCGGUGCCCUGCAGAGGAGCCCUCCAAGGCAGGCCGCCUGUCCCCUUCAUGUCAGCUGCCUUGUCAGAUGCUGGCACAGCUUUGCUUAAGACUUGACUUCCAUUCUAUCAGAUUACAACUCACCUGCCACUGUCCCUCUGCCAGCAAGAAAGACACUGGAAAUGUCCUCAGCUAUAGAUUAAGUCCCAAAACCAAGGAUGGAGAUUCAACAACUUUUACUCACUCAGGAGUCUUAAAUGUCUCAGAUUCUCCAUUUUUCAGUAUGUACACAUGGAGAAAUGUUUUGUUAUCCUGUACAUCCUUUCUGUAUCUUACUUGCCAGUCUUGUGGUCAUUCAGCUGCUUACAUGGUGGGAUGGAGGAUUUCAAAAUAUGCCAUGGCCCACUGCCAUUGUGCUUACAGACUUACAACAUAUCAUGAAGAUGCUACAUUAAAGCCACUUCUUAAAGCAAAUGCCAUGUCCUAGAGUGUCAUCUGCAGGGAAGCAGUUUGCACUUGACAGAAAUCAAGGUCUUCUAAGUACCCUAUACCACCUUCAGAAGAUUCCUUUCUUUUCUACUUUGCUAGAAGUCUUGUAUCAUGAAGGAUGCUAAGUUGCACCUAAUGUUUUUUAUGCACUAAAGCAAUAAUCCUAUGGUUUUUCUCUUUGAUUCAUUAAUGUGGUGAAUUACAUUAAUACAUUUUCCAGUGUGAAACAACUAUUAAACUCUUGUGAUAAACACAGCUUGUUCAUGAUAUUCUGCUUUUCUGGGCAAUAAGUUUAUAGCAGUGAAUUAAACAGUCAGUGUCUGUACUCAUGAAGUUAUAAUCCAGUGUGAGGUGGGGAGAGAAAAUAAUAAACAGAUAAUAGCUAGAUGUAUUAUGUCA
rnacentral:lncRNA from 13 species